GACGAACGCUGGCGGCGUGCUUAACACAUGCAAGUCGAACGGAAAGGCCCAGCUUGCUGGGUACUCGAGUGGCGAACGGGUGAGUAACACGUGGGUGAUCUGCCCUGGACUCUGGGAUAAGCCUGGGAAACUGGGUCUAAUACCGGAUAUGACCUUACAUCGCAUGGUGUUUGGUGGAAAGCUUUUGCGGUUCAGGAUGGGCCCGCGGCCUAUCAGCUUGUUGGUGGGGUAAUGGCCUACCAAGGCGACGACGGGUAGCCGACCUGAGAGGGUGAUCGGCCACACUGGGACUGAGACACGGCCCAGACUCCUACGGGAGGCAGCAGUGGGGAAUAUUGCACAAUGGGCGCAAGCCUGAUGCAGCGACGCCGCGUGAGGGAUGACGGCCUUCGGGUUGUAAACCUCUUUCACCAGGGACGAAGCGUGAGUGACGGUACCUGGAGAAGAAGCACCGGCCAACUACGUG
rnacentral:rRNA from 1 species